rnacentral:rRNA from 1 species
GACGAACGCUGGCGGCGUGCCUAAUACAUGCAAGUAGAACGCUGAAGGAGGAGCUUGCUUCUCUGGAUGAGUUGCGAACGGGUGAGUAACGCGUAGGUAACCUGCCUGGUAGCGGGGGAUAACUAUUGGAAACGAUAGCUAAUACCGCAUAAUAGCAGUUGUUGCAUGACAACUGUUUGAAAGGUGCAAUUGCACCACUACCAGAUGGACCUGCGUUGUAUUAGCUAGUUGGUGGGGUAACGGCUCACCAAGGCGACGAUACAUAGCCGACCUGAGAGGGUGAUCGGCCACACUGGGACUGAGACACGGCCCAGACUCCUACGGGAGGCAGCAGUAGGGGAUCUUCGGCAAUGGACGGAAGUCUGACCGAGCAACGCCGCGUGAGUGAAGAAGGUUUUCGGAUCGUAAAGCUCUGUUGUAAGAGAAGAACGAGUGUGAGAGUGGAAAGUUCACACUGUGACGGUAUCUUACCAGAAAGGGACGGCUAACUACGUG